AAGCAGUCACCCCCCUGGACAUGCGCCAUUUUUAGUAUUUCCAGGGGGGUGACUGCUUCUGUUUACGGUACUUGCUGAGUGACGAAUCAUGACGAAUAACGCUUACGCAAAAAACAAUGGAGAUGGACUUCUGUGUAGUAUUCUGUGCCAAGAGUAUACCUGUUCGCGGGUUAUGUAGUGGCAUGAAAAUAUGAGCUGCACAAAUAAAUCGCUUGAUAGCAAAUUGAGACGAACUUUAUACGUAUUUUUACUGUCGUUCCAAUUGAAGUGUUCCUCAAAUAUUGAUUCAAUACAUUACCUCGGGCUGACCAAUUCAUUUGAUCAAGUUCCGCGAAAUAUUCAUACACUUCCUAGUAUAUAAAUUGUAAACUUCCUGUUGAAUAGUUUGAAUGCACCAAUCACCUUUGUUGUUUGUGCAACUUAACCAAUCAUAAAUAGAAAGGAAGUGACCAGAAAUGAUCAAAUUCUUGGAAUUGGCGCUUUCACAGGAAGUGUAUGAAUAUCUCGAGGAACUUGAUGAAAUGAAUUGGUCAGCCUGAGGUAAUGUAUUGAAUCAAUAUUUGAGGAACACUUCAAUUGGAACGACAGUAAGCGUUUCAUUAAGUGAAUACACAUUUUUCUGAGCUGCCUAUGGUCAGAAAGUCAUCUCCAUUGUUUUUUUGCGUAAGCGCUAUUCGUCAUCGUCCGCCCCUCAGUAAUUGCCCUAAACAAAGCAGUCACCCCCCCCCCCCCUGACGUAAUCGCCUUUUUGGGUAUUUCCAGGGGUUGAAUACUUAGGGCACUUGCUGAGGGGCGGAUUGAUGACGAAUAGCGAUUGCGCAAAAAAACAAUAGAGAGGGCUUUCUGAAUAGGUUAGUAUUCUGUGCUAAUGCAGAGGUGCUAAUGUAGACAAAGUCCUCUGGGUUGCCCGCACCCCCUCCCCAAUUGUCUUAAAAUUUCAAAAAAAUUUCCCGUAAAUUUCAUAUUUUAAUAUUUUGGCAUUUUCCAUUUUUGCCUGUAAUUUGUAUUUUCGGUUGUUUCGACCGUUUCAUCUCUCUCAUACGCCAACUGUUUAUGAUAAGCCACGCCUAUAUCCGUCAAGGGCCACGCCCAUUUUAGUCGGUAAAAUCGGGAUGCUUCACCACCCCCCACCCCCUCAAAGGUCCAAGCGAUUUUGUAUCAGAUAUAAAAACUCCUUCACACUCAUGAUUUCUUUUGUGUUUUCUUCAUGAAUUAUUAAUGAGUUUCACAAUUUAAUUAAGCUUUCAGUGAAGUCUUAAAAGUGAUAGUCAUCAAGCCUGUAAAAGACGCCUCUCUUAAUAUGGCCACGUUGCUCUUCGCUGUUCGUACAAAUAGCCAGAAAGACGUUAAUAAUUGCAUUUUUAUUUAAUUCUAACUACAAAUACACUGAUUUUGCACAAUCUCCAAAACACUCUGAGUUAUAGUUGUGCAACGACACAUUGUGCAGUAAAAAUAUUUCCUUAAAUACUCUGGGUUAAUGCAUGAGUCAAUGUAAACCCUUUAUUUAUAAUUUAUUUAAGAUAUUCCUUAUCCUCAUGGUUUAUAUUUUAAAGAACAGAUGGUCAAAAUCUGCAUUACAAGUUUAGCGAUUUAAAUAAAAUCUACAUACACUGCGAAAUGACCGAUAAUUUUUACGAAGGACAUAUUUGUGUACCUCGUGAUCACAAUUCGUUGCAAGCGGCUAGUGAAAAACUGCAAGUUUUAGUUUGACAGUUCUGACAGUACAGUUAAAUGAGUUUCUAAUUUUAUUGUCCAAUCAGAUGCGUAGUUUUGAACUUUAAAUCAAACCUACGCACCUAAUUGGACAAUAAAAUUAGAAACCAUUUAUCUGCCAGAACUGUCAAACUGAAACUUGCAGUUUUUCACACGCCGCUUGCAACGAAUUGUGAUCACGAGGUACACAAAUAUGUCCAACGUACCGGUAAUUGACAAAACUGUCACUGACAAACUGCCUAAAGAAACGGUCGUUUUGCAGUUUACUGGGAACAAUAGUACCUGCAAAUGUUCAAAAGCACACAAAGCAAAGAUAACAAGACGCUCCAUAGAGCGUUAACUCGCUGGGGCUAUAUACAAAUACGCACAUUACCAUGUAUGAUACAUACAUGCAUGCAGUACACAGCUAUUUUAAUUAAAAUUUAAGGUUGUGAGGUUGUCCCAAGCUAAGCGGGAAACU